CGGACGUAUCACGUUGAAACACCGGUUCUCGUGCGAUCACUGAAGUUAAGCAACGUCGAUCCUCGUCAGUACCUAGACGGAUUACCGCCCGUGAAUACCAGGUGCUGUAAG